GUAAGAGAAAGAAUCACUUUUUGGAUUUAAAAAAGAAAAGAAAAUGAAUUGUUUGCUUUUUAUAAUUUGGUUGGACCGCACCAGUUGUAUUGUUCCGAGUUCAAAUUAAGGCUUUAUAAACAACAAGCACUAGGGAUUUUGGGAUAUCACACCUUAGAUAUUUUAUGGAAAUUAUAAUAUAUAAUUGAGAUGAAAAUACUGCUAACUGCGUUGUGCUUCUUCCUCUUUGUUCUCAUUGCUGCUCAAGAAGCUGUGGUGCAAAUUGAAGGUUGUGAGGUAAAGAGUCCUACAUUCAAUGGUCACUGUAAUGACCCAAUUUCAGACAAAAUUUGUGACAUUAAUUGCAGAUUUGGAGAAGGUUUAAUCAAUGGUUCCUGCAAAAAUCAGGAGUGCAUGUGUGUCUGUUGAAUUUGCAGCUAUAUUAGAAAAUAAAGCUGGCUGUAAUUUGUUUCACGUAUAGCUGGUUCAUGUUAAUAAAAUAAAUCAUAAAUUAUAUUUUUAGGGUUCCUAUCUUCAAAGGCAUGCCUUAGCCUAUUUAUCUUCAACCAAUUAUUUAUUAAUCAGAGCAAAAAAUUUGGCUUGGAAAGGUUCACUGCUUUCUAUAUUAUGGGAAGAGUCCAACUUAUUCGAUCAAUUAUUCAUUGUAUGUUGGUGUACAACUUUCGCAUGUAUACUUUGGCCUAUUUCUCUCCUAAAAAUUAUGGAUUCUUGGAUUAGAAACUUCAUAUAGUUAUUUUUUGAUUAAUCUAAAGUUUGGUGUCUUCUCAUAGAAAGUGGCGUCUGUAAUCCCUCAUGGAAAUUAAUGAAUCUACUAUGGUAAAACUCACGUUUGAUUUGCUUU